rnacentral:rRNA from 1 species
AAUAGAUACCCCGGUAGUCCACGCCGUAAACGAUGAGUGCUAAGUGUUAGGGGGUUUCCGCCCCUUAGUGCUGCAGCUAACGCAUUAAGCACUCCGCCUGGGGAGUACGGUCGCAAGACUGAAACUCAAAGGAAUUGACGGGGGCCCGCACAAGCGGUGGAGCAUGUGGUUUAAUUCGAAGCAACGCGAAGAACCUUACCAGGUCUUGACAUCCCGUUGACCACUGUAGAGAUAUAGUUUCCCCUCCGGGGGCAACGGUGACAGGUGGUGCAUGGUUGUCGUCAGCUCGUGUCGUGAGAUAUUGGGUUAAGUCCCGCAACGAGCGCAACCCUUGAUCUUAGUUGCCAUCAUUUAGUUGGGCACUCUAAGGUGACUGCCGGUGACAAACCGGAGGAAGGUGGGGAUGACGUCAAAUCAUCAUGCCCCUUAUGACCUGGGCUACACACGUGCUACAAUGGACGAUACAAAACGGGUUGCCAACUCGCGAGAGGGAGCUAAUCCGAUAAAGUCGUUCUCAGUUCGGAUUGUAGGCUGCAACUCGCCUA